GUGAACGCUGGCGGUAGGCCUAACACAUGCCGGUCGAACGGCAGCACAGUAAGAGCUUGCUCUUACGGGUGGCGAGUGGCGGACGGGUGAGGAAUACAUCGGAAUCUACUUUUUCGUGGGGGAUAACGUAGGGAAACUUACGCUAAUACCGCAUACGACCUACGGGUGAAAGCAGGGGAUCUUCGGACCUUGCGCGAUUGAAUGAGCCGAUGUCGGAUUAGCUAGUUGGCGGGGUAAAGGCCCACCAAGGCGACGAUCCGUAGCUGGUCUGAGAGGAUGAUCAGCCACACUGGAACUGAGACACGGUCCAGACUCCUACGGGAGGCAGCAGUGGGGAAUAUUGGACAAUGGGCGCAAGCCUGAUCCAGCCAUACCGCGUGGGUGAAGAAGGCCUUCGGGUUGUAAAGCCCUUUUGUUGGGAAAGAAAAGCAGCAGGUUAAUACCCCGCUGUUCUGACGGUACCCAAAGAAUAAGCACCGGCUAACUUCGU
rnacentral:rRNA from 1 species